CCUGCAUGCAUGUGUGUGUGUGUGUGCCUCUCCCUCUCCAUGGGCACUUCGCGUGCUCGAAAGCCUGCUAGACACGUGAAGCUUGUGCUUGCAUAGAGACACACACACACGCACGCACAUCUGUGCGCGUGGCAUACUAACCGAUUAGAGACAUCCCGUGUAGACCCGUCCUCGCGCAAGCACGCCGACUUAUCGGGCUUGCUUUGCGUGCAUCCAAUGGCGAUGCUCGAAAACGACAACGGCGCGCGGCCGCUGCAUGAUGGCACGGUGCUCAUAUCACCCGAUGCAUCUCCCAACUUGACAAGAAGGGCAAUGAACCACCACAGCGCCGAAAAUACAGAGGCGCCGCCACUUGUCGAUUUGCUGAUGAGCGCCUCUGAGACAAUCCGGGAAGAGCGAGGGAGGGCAGACUCGCUGGAGAAGGAAAACGCUAAGCUCCAAGCGCAGCUGGACGGUGUUCGGUUGGCCUAUCAACUGGUGGCAACACAACGGGCGCAGCGCAACUCGCAGGCGUUGGGGAGGGUGACGGCGCUCGACAAGGCUGGUGAAGACAUGCUGUUUGCCUAUGUGAGAGACCGGCUGAUCGGGCGAGACAUACAUCCCUCCUCGGAGCACGAGAAAUGCAGCUGCACACGUGAGAGCAGCAGUAGUGCUCGGCUGGGACAGCGCCAGCGCCGCUCAAACGCGGCUGCCCCGCCCGUGGCUUCGGCAGCCGCGCGAGUGCCUUCACGCAACUUCAUCACAGCUGCGACACGAAGCUGCACGAAAAGAGGGAAUGCCGGCAUCACGCCACCCGAAUCCGUAUCGUCAAAGACAGCAGAGCCACACAUCUCGGUAGCCACGGAAGCGCGUGAAGAGCACGGUUACUUACCUACCGCGUUGCGAAACUGUGACCUGAAGUCAGCAAAGGACCAUCUGGCCACUUCCCUGACUGGUAGUGGCAGUCGCAAAGGCGAAGGAAAUGCAGAAAUGGUGGAAGGCGGCAGCGAUACUGAGGAGUCCCCUACGCACUGGAUGGCUCGCCGACUUCUCCGAGCACUCGCCCCUCGUCCUACCGACAGCGUUGUGGGCGACAUCGUACACACCAUGGUUACUGCCUUGCAACAAGACGUGCAAGCCGAACUCAGCAGGCCCAGCGACGGUAGGCACGCUGCUCCAAAUCGCAUGCGCGGCUUUGCGCUGGUGCGACUAAAGCCGUGUGUCUACCGCCUCCUCGUUGGUCCUCCUGCAGAAGUGAAGGCAAUGGAGUGUGCAGCACGGAGUAGCAACCGGAGCGCUCGCCAAACAGCACCGCGGCUCCCCUCCGCAGCCCUCCACCGUGACCACUUCCUCCUCUACAGCCGAAGUCCAGAAACCAACACCGCCGCGCGCCCUUGCUCUUCGAAAAUUACGAAUACCGUCAUUCACCUCACCAUUGACACUGGCACUCUUCGCGUGAUUCGAGGUGGAGGACACAUCGACUUCAUCGACUACUUAGAGCGCCGCUUACAAGUGAAACUGUACACCAGACGGAGCCGUCCCGCCUAACCCACCAGGACCGUCCCUCAUACAUCGCCUGACACAAAACUUUCCCCACACACAACUCCCAUUGCAAGCUCUUACCCACAGCCGAGGCCCAAGACAG
rnacentral:misc_RNA from 1 species